GCAAGCGCCUCCUGAAGUAUCGGGCACCAUGUGAGGAAACUCCAUGAGUGAAUGUGGUCAAACUCAAGGAAGCCUAAGUCAUUUACAAAGAUAAGGUAAUCUUGAGCCAAGCUUUACCCCUAAUGAGGUAAAGAAGGUGCAGAGACUAGAGUUGUAAGGAGUAAUGAUAAUUCUCCUGAAGCGUUAGGCCACCACCUAAAGCUAUAAAAGCUAUGGUGAAGGGAUAGUCCAGAGAGUGGGGAAACUCACAC
rnacentral:ncRNA from 1 species